CACAUAUGUGUCCCAGUUCGAAAAUCCGCCGAUUUUAAGUCUCUCCUUGGUGGGGAGCAUUGCAUUUUUUGUCUACUUGAUUCGAGCUAUGUCCCAAGUUAAUUCCAUCCCUGAAAAGGUUAAAAGAUUCAAGCAAGAGGAGGUCAGAGCAGUGGAAGUAUUUCUCAAGAGCUCGAUAGUUAGUAAUUGAUAUUUCAAGUACAUUCAAUUAUCCCAUAUAACAAUUUGUUUGAGCAGCAGUGGGAAAUUUGGACCCAAGUUUUAAAACACUUUUUAUCAAACGUAAAAUUGAACCAGUAGAAGUUUUUUAGACCUGUAGAUUUUUAAUGUUAGCUUUUGUAUUUCAAUCCUGAUUUUAGAGAUAUAAUAUUUGACAUUUGUGGUUUGAAUGUUAAUUGAUUGUAUCAUUAUAAAUUUUAACCAUAUUUAAUUGCAGUAC